ACCUGGCUGGCUCAGUCAGUAGAGCAUGCGAUUCUUGAUCUUGGGGUUGUGAGUUCGAGCCCCACGUUGGGUA
rnacentral:tRNA from 1 species